GAAGGUAGAGCUCAAAGUGGUAGAGCUCAUGCUUAGCAUGCAUGAGGUGUCCUGGGUUCAAUCCCCAAUAUCUCCU
rnacentral:tRNA from 1 species